CCUACGUACCCGAGGAGGAGUAUGGACACGCUUGUGCCCGGGAGGAGUUCGAGAAUGUGGUCGAGCUUCUCUUGGCCCUUUUUCAACUGCGGGCUUACUCAAGUUUCCCGCCUGCCGCUCUCUCGCAGUCUCCUCAUCCUUCAUUUUGAAGGCUUCUUCCACUUGGAUGUACCCUUCGACCCGAGCCAACAGAUCAGCAAAAUCCCUGGGGUACUUCUUCUCCAGGGAGAACAAAAGGUCAUUCUUCUGAAGGCUGCCCUUCAG
rnacentral:lncRNA from 1 species